rnacentral:rRNA from 1 species
UACGGAGGGGGCUAGCGUUGUUCGGAAUUACUGGGCGUAAAGCGCACGUAGGCGGCUUUGUAAGUUAGAGGUGAAAGCCCGGGGCUCAACUCCGGAAUUGCCUUUAAGACUGCAUCGCUAGAAUUGUGGAGAGGUAAGUGGAAUUCCGAGUGUAGAGGUGAAAUUCGUAGAUAUUCGGAAGAACACCAGUGGCGAAGGCGACUUACUGGACACAUAUUGACGCUGAGGUGGCGAAAAGCGUGGGGAGCAAACACGG